AUUGAACGCUGGCGGCAUGCCUUACACAAGCAAGUCGAACGGUAACGCGGGGCAACCUGGCGACGAGUGGCGAACGGGUGAGUAACGCGUCGGAACGUGCCCAGUAGUGGGGGAUAGCCCGGCGUAAGCCGGAUUAAUACCGCAUACGACCUACGGGUGAAAGGGGGGGAUCGCAAGACCUCUCGCUAUUGGAGCGGCCGAUGUCAGAGUAGGUAGUUGGUGGGGUAAAGGCCCACCAAGCCUUCGAUCUGUAGCUGGUCUGAGAGGACGACCAGCCACACUGGGACUGAGACACGGCCCAGACUCCUACGGGAGGCAGCAGUGGGGAAUUUUGGACAAUGGGCGCAAGCCUGAUCCAGCCAUGCCGCGUGCGGGAAGAAGGCCUUCGGGUUGUAAACCGCUUUUGUCAGGGAAGAAACGCUCUGGGCUAAUACCUCGGGGUAAUGACGGUACCUGAAGAAUAAGCACCGGCUAACUACGUGCCAGCCGCCGCCGUAA
rnacentral:rRNA from 1 species